rnacentral:rRNA from 1 species
AGUGAACGCUGGCGGCGUGCUUAACACAUGCAAGUCGAACGAGAACGGGUUAUAGCUUGCUAUAAUUGUCAGCUAAGUGGCGCACGGGUGAGUAAUGUAUAGGUAAUAUGCCUCUUACUAAGGGAUAACAAUUGGAAACGAUUGCUAAUACCUUAUACUCCUUAUUAACAGAAGUUAAUAAGGGAAAGAUUUAUUGGUAAGAGAUUAGCCUGUAUUGUAUCAGUUAGUUGGUGGGGUAAUGGCUUACCAAGACUAUGACACAUAACUGGUUUGAGAGGAUGAUCAGUCACACUGGAACUGAGACACGGUCCAGACUCCUACGGGAGGCAGCAGUGGGGAAUAUUGCACAAUGGACGAAAGUCUGAUGCAGCAACGCCGCGUGGAGGAUGACACAUUUCGGUGCGUAAACUCCUUUUAUAUGAGAAGAUAAUGACGGUAUUAUAUGAAUAAGCACCGGCUAACUCCGUGCCAGCCGCCGCGGUAA